rnacentral:rRNA from 1 species
GAUGAACGCUGGCGGCAUGCCUAACACAUGCAAGUCGAACGAGACCUUCGGGUCUAGUGGCGCACGGGUGCGUAACGCGUGGGAAUCUGCCCUUUGCUACGGAAUAACUCGAGGAAACUCGUGCUAAUACCGUAUGAUGUCGCAAGACCAAAGAUUUAUCGGCAAGGGAUGAGCCCGCGCAGGAUUAGCUAGUUGGUGAGGUAAAGGCUCACCAAGGCGACGAUCCUUAGCUGGUCUGAGAGGAUGAUCAGCCACACUGGGACUGAGACACGGCCCAGACUCCUACGGGAGGCAGCAGUGGGGAAUAUUGGACAAUGGGCGAAAGCCUGAUCCAGCAAUGCCGCGUGAGUGAUGAAGGCCUUAGGGUUGUAAACUCCUGUCGAAUGGGACGAAAAAGUUGCGGGUUAACACCCCGCGAUUCUGACGGUACCGUUAAAGGAAACCC